AUUGAACGCUGGCGGCAUGCUUUACACAUGCAAGUCGAACGGUAACAGGUUAAGCUGACGAGUGGCGAACGGGUGAGUAAUGCAUCGGAACGUGCCCGAUCGCGGGGGACACCGCAGCGAAAGCUGCGCUAAUACCGCUAACGAUCCGAGGAUGAAAGCGGGGGACAGUAAGGCCCUGCGCGUGCGGAGCGGCCGAUGUCAGAUUAGGUAGUUGGUGGGGUAAAGGCCCACCAAGCCGACGAUCUGUAGCUGGUCUGAGAGGACGACCAGCCACACUGGAACUGAGACACGGUCCAGACUCCUACGGGAGGCAGCAGUGGGGAAUUUUGGACAAUGGACGCAAGUCCGAUCCAGCCAUUCCGCGUGCAGGAUGAAGGCCCUCGGGUUGUAAACUGCUUUUGUACGGAACGAAAAGGUCUCUCUUAAUACGGGGGGCUCAUGACGGUACCGUAAGAAUAAGCACCGGCUAACUACGUGCCAGCCGCCGCAGUAA
rnacentral:rRNA from 1 species